rnacentral:rRNA from 1 species
CGGGAAGAGCUCAAAUUUGAAAGCUGGCACCUCCGGUGUCCGCGUUGUAAUCUCGAGACGUGUUUUCCGUGCGGCUCUAUGGACAAGUCCCUUGGAAUAGGGCAUCGUAGAGGGUGAGAAUCCCGUACUUGCCAUGGAAGAACCGUGCUUUGCGAUACACGCUCUAA